UGUUGUUAAUUUAUAGAUAAGUAUCGACCUAUCGACAUGCCGAUAACUUGUUAAGACACUGGCAGUACGAGUUUAGACUUAGAGUUUAAAAAAGGGAAAUGCAAAUCCUACGUCGGUAAAUUCUAAUUUAACUUGUGGAUUAUUGUAGUAGACACAUAUGAAUUACGGUAAACGUUUUUCGAAACGGUAAUCUUGUAGGAAAUGAAUCAUUUGAAACGAACGGCGUCCAUAGUUUGUGUCGCUUCAAUCAGUAACUCAUACAUAAUGAUUUUUAUCAUCCUAAGCAUCGCGGGAAGGAAUUGUUAAUGGGCCCGAUAACUAUGAGAGCAUCGUCGAAACCUUGAAUUCACGAAAUAGAAGUUGAACGAGUUGUUGAACAUGUUCACAAACCAGUAAUUGAAUGCAUAUUUAACGACGAAAUUAUACAUUUAAAUGAGAAGAGUAAAAAUAUAAAGCCGCGGAUAUGUUAUUGAAGUGAAACAGUACACGUUGCGGUUUAUCUAAUACUUGCAUAACUCUUUGUUACAAAAUGUUUAAAGUUUCCGCGUACUUGUGUGACAACUGGAUCGAGACAAUUUGUAACCUGAUUUAAUAUACAGGGUGCCUUCAAAGGUGUUUGUAGGUGUUUUUGCGAAGUAUGAUAAAUUAUUAGAUGUAGAAAUGAAUUCUACAACUUUAAAGCAGUUAAUCAACGAAGCACGUGCAAAGAGAGACAUGACAGCUUGUCAUGUAUGCUACACUUACGUUCGUAUCAUGUUAUAAAUCACAGAAACAAAAAAAGGAUUUGCAAAGGAGAAAGGAAAUAACAAUUGAUUUCGUAGAUUGUUUAUUAUUUGAUGUGAAUUGCACGUAUGGAAUCGGGUGAGCGCUUGGAGAGCUCGAACGCGACUGCCAGUUGCCCCAUUCAACCCGAAAAAUGCCUGGAACUUAUCCCCUCUCCGUUUUUGGCAAAUUUCCAAAGGCGCGAACUUCCGUGCUUGCGUGGGGUAGCCUGACGGUCCCGGAUCAACUACAGUGUCGACCCGUGCACGUUUACCUGCAUAAUCGGGAGCAUUUCGCGACUCUAUCGAGGUGGAUUUUGGCCUAAGGACUUUACUCCUUAUCCGUAUGACUUCCAAGUUUUUCCGACGCACUUGGGUACAUAAAGGUGAUUUCGCAAUAUGCAUUUUUAAGCAGGCGACGAUUCUUCCAACAAUCGUGAGCCGCAUUUUCGGAAUUUGCUAACCUUGAAUUUCGCAUCACGGAAACGGUCCUUGACUCCAAACUGGUUCAAGUAAUUGUCUGGAAGCUUACUCUUGUUUUCGCGAGCUAUCGCCGCGGACAUCAAUCGACCCCACACCGUGAAAGUUGGAGAGAAAAGUCGAAUUUCUACUCUUUAGAUUUCAACGUUUCGAGAUCAAGAUUCUCCAAGGGAGGUUUUAUCAUUUUUAAGUGGACACUUGAAGUGAACGCUUGAACAUUCAAUUCAAAUCUGUGUACUUCAUCUACAAUUUUAAAAAUCAAAUAAAUAUUAAUAGAAAACAAAUGAUUUCAAACAAAUCUAACUAUACAAAUACAUGUAUUUGUACAGUUAAAUUUAUAUAUAAACUAAGCAAAUUUUAAUUAAUAACUCCAUUGACUGUCCUCAACACGAAAAAAUUCAUUGUCAGUUCGAAUCGAUUGCUGAGAUCGAUGUACAUGUAUUAAAUGUUAAUUUUUAUUGCUUUUAAGUAUAGAACGUACAUGCAUAAUGUAUAGAAAUUCAUACCGAAUUCCUCCAUUAAAUUAGAUGGUAAUAAGCUACCAAUGUAAGCAUGAGUAAUUGUAUGAAUUCGUUACAUACGUUAGAAUUCGUGAAUUGUUUAUGCAGAACAUACGGGAAUACGAAAGAUUAAAUGCCUCGAAAACUGGUUGCGCUCGCAAUUUAUUUUCGUGAACCAAGACUUCCUCGUUCCUGUACACACGGCUACACACGUGCUAUGUGCUAAAAUUUGUUUACGACACCAUACUUGCGAAAUGUGUUUAAAUACGCGUACACCUAUUAGACGAAAACAAUAGUUGUUAAUAGCAGUGUGGCAAUAGUUUAUAAUUUUACACAAAGUAUUUAUGCGUCUCCAGUGAUCGUAAUUGGAUAAGAUGCUGGACUCUAAUAACAACUACUUAAGUUAUUUGAAUGGUUACCAUGGAAAUAGAAAAUCAUGAUUGCGCAGGACAAUGUUGUUUUCAGACAAUACAGCCGAGUGUGUUUGUUUACAUAAACAUGAGCAGUCAACUGUGAAUAUAUUUCUUACACGCUAUUUCGGGUACACUAUACAAUAAAUAUUAAAAAUAGAAAAUAGACAUAAAUAUGUGGUCGCUGAAAACUACAUUAGAAGUGCUCAUCAAUAUAGAAAUCUAUUUUACAGUCUCUAAUCUCCUUGAAACACUUCGGUAAAACGGCAAAUGUAUUACAGUAAAUUUUUGUUAUUAUUUAUGAACGUGAGAGGAUCACAGAAUCACGGAAGUCCUAUUUUCCAGAAGAUUUUUCUGUUAAUAAUUUCGACCUGCCUUUUAUCGUAGAACUAUCGUUUUCCAGCACUCGUGGAUUAUUCCAGAUGAAGGUAAUAAAAUGGAUCGAGAGUCGAGAGAGAGAGAAAAUUACUAUUUUAACCGAGUGAGCGUUCCUCCACAUUCAGAGAUACGUGUUGGUUGUACGUGUACUUGAAACUGGAUCAGAAAAAAAGUUACUUCGAAUGAUAUUAUUCAGACCGAGAUUACUCACGUAUUUAUGUGACGCAACUGUGUAAAAACGUCAUCUGCGGGUAUGGUUGUGAGACAUAUCCUACGUUCCAGACAAUUCCUCGAUGACGAAAAUUUUCCAUUUUUCUGUCCUCUGGCCGAGUGGGUGAAAAAUCACGCGAUUUUAGGAAGCCUGACGUCGAGCCACCGUUAAAUUUUAUAUUUAGACGUUGACGUUGGAAAUAACUUGGGUAAGUUUCUGUUAGAGGCUUCCCCGUGAUUUAUAUUCGUACGAGGACAUGAUUCAUGGGAUUCGU